rnacentral:rRNA from 1 species
AACGAACGCUGGCGGCAUGCCUAACACAUGCAAGUCGAACGAGACCUUCGGGUCUAGUGGCGCACGGGUGCGUAACGCGUGGGAACCUGCCCUUAGGUUCGGAAUAACUCCCCGACAGGGGUGCUAAUACCGGAUAAUGUCUUCGGACCAAAGAUUUAUCGCCUUUGGAUGGGCCCGCGUUGGAUUAGCUAGUUGGUAGGGUAAAAGCCUACCAAGGCGCCGAUCCAUAGCUGGUCUGAGAGGAUGAUCAGCCACACUGAGACUGAGACACGGCCCAGACUCCUACGGGAGGCAGCAGUGGGGAAUAUUGGACAAUGGGCGAAAGCCUGAUGCAGCAAUGCCGGGUGAGUGAUGAAGGCCUUAGGGUUGUAAAGCUCUUUUACCCGUGAUGAUAAUGACAGUACCGGGAGAAUAAGCCCCGGCUAACUCCGUG